GCAUAUCAAUAAGCGGAGGAAAAGAAACUAACAAGGAUUCCCCUAGUAACGGCGAGUGAAGCGGGAUGAGCUCAAAUUUAAAAUCUGGCUGGUUUACUAGUCCGAAUUGUAGUUUAAAGAAGCGUUUUCGGUGGCAGCCUGGGUAUAAAUCCUUUGGAACAGGGUAUCAUAGAGGGUGAGAAUCCCGUCUUUGACUCAGUGCAUGCUACUAUGUGAUACGUUUUCAAAGAGUCGAGUUGUUUGGGAAUGCAGCUCAAAAUGGGUGGUAAAUUUCAUCUAAGGCUAAAUAUUGGCGAGAGACCGAUAGCGAACAAGUACCGUGAGGGAAAGAUGAAAAGAACUUUGAAAAGAGAGUUAAACAGUGCGUGAAAUUGUUGAAAGGGAAACGCUUGACACCAGUCAUGCGAGCGGAAAAUCAGUCUUUUGCAGUGGGGAGUUGUGUGGGUUCGGACCGCAAGGCCGGCCUGUGCUGCAUCUCUGCUGUAAGUGAUGCACUUUUUCGUUUGCAGGCCAACAUCAGUUUCUUCUGCUGGACAAAACUCUUGAGAAGGUAGCAGCUUAGGCUGUGUUAUAGCUCUUGAGCGAUACAGUGGAGGGGACUGAGGUUUUCGCAGCGCGUGCUCUCGGGCAAGGCUGAUUGGGUGCUAUGGGAUCGUUCGGUGUACAAUGCAUGCAUUUUGCGCCGUGUCUUUUCUAUACUCGCUCAACUCGGCUCUCCGCGCUAGGAUGUG
rnacentral:rRNA from 1 species